CGCUGCCUUCUUCUUCCCCAAGCCACCAUAAACCCACAUAAACUCCAUUAAAAUACUGCAAAUAACCACUGAAGAACCAACCUUAAAAUCCCCGCACCAAUUUUCAGCCUUUCCAUUGAUUAAACUCAUCCAAACCCAAUUGUUUUCCCCCCACAAAAAUCAGCUAAACAAUAGCUUCAAUCAGCCCCAAAAUUGCUGAAUAUAACUAGCCAAAAACCACCCAAAAACAGCCUCAAAAUCGUCCAAAAUGCAGCUCCAAAAUGACCUCAAAUUCCCUGCCAAAACCGACUCCAAAAUGCCUCAAAACCAGCCCCAAACUUAAUCAUGAAUCUCCUCUAAACUCCGGAAAGAUCCAGCCAUGAACUCCACAAAAUACAGCUACAAAAUAGUCCUAUAGACUAGCCUACCAUCUCCAAAAACUGAAAAGCUCAUUUGAGAAUUUUCGGAGCGAGUUCGAUUUGAACCCGUUCGAGGUCGUCGAUUCCAGUCCAAGAUUCUGAUUGAUAAGCUCAUUUGAGAUUUUUGAAGCUCUGUUUUCUUUUAGCUUUGUGGCGUGCCUUUCCUUGUAUGUUGACCGGAGGCUCUUGCGAAUAUUGAAAGCUAAUAAAGAAAAGGUUCAUUUCCUUUGUUGUUUUUUGCAUUUUUAUUUUUAAAGUUUGUUACUUCAUUCAGCUAUCAAAUAUGUGUGGCCUUAAUUUGCCCCAUUGGCUUCCUUCUUGUUGCCUUUAUUUUGUCAUAUUGUUGUAUGUCUCACCAUUAUUAAUAUUUAAUGUUGAUCCGAAGAUUAAUUAGUUUUGUUUUGAGUGAUGAAUUAGUUAGUGUAAAUAAAUUGAUUUGGGCUUGACUAUUUUAUUGGUUUUAUUCAAGUGGGUCAUAUGAGAUGUCUUGAUAUAAUGGGUCGUAUAGUCUAACUAGAAGUAGAUGUAGCUUUGCACAUAAGACAAAUUAGAUUUGGAAUAAAUCAAAGUAUGCGUUCGCGCGACUUUAGCCAAACAAUCUUAAUAAUAAUAAAGCGUGAUUAAUUGUGUACACAUACGCAUGACAUGAUUUUAGCAUACUAAAUAAAACGAAUUUACACACAUGUGAUCCAUUUCAAAGAUAAAUCCAUAUGCCAUAAUUAAAAGCGGUUAAGAAGUAAAUACAAAUAGGUUCUAAAAAAUACAAAAUUAAACAAAUAACUAAGUCAGGUAUGACUAAAGCGACCAUGCUAAAAUUAUGAAAUUCGGGAGCGCCUAACACCUUCUCCCGGGUUAACAAAAUUUCUUAUCUGGUCUUCUGUGUUCGCGGAUCAUAAAUAGAGUCAAUUUCCUUGAUUUGGAAUUUUAAAAUAAACCGGUGACUUGGGACAUCAUAAUAAUUAUCCCAAGUAGCGACUCUAAUUUAAUAAAUAAUCUCAUUUUGAAUAAUGUCACUUUAAUUGGAAAAAAACCCCGAUUUUUCGAAAAAAGGAGGUGUGACACAACUAAAAUUUGAGGAUGACGAUGUUGAAGAAGUAAUACUAGAGCCAGCCAAGAAACUAAAGGUACAAAUUUAGUUGACUCUAGUAUGAUUGAUGUAGAGGAGGUCAAAAAUCUUAAGGUUCAUGUAUUUGAGCGCGUUAGACCUCAUUCCAAACACUUCUCUACAUUAUGUUCAGAUGAUGAAAUGAAAAUUGAUCCUUAUGAGCAUAAAAACGAGUCAAGGGCAGAGGUCGAUGAACCUUGUAUUUUGAAAUUUUCAAAGCCAUCUAGGCAAGGUGACAAUCCUCGGUCUAGAGCCAAAAAGCGCAUGAAAAUUUAUUUAAACUUUGGCUCGAAAAAAUUUGUACCACCCUAAGCGCAUAAUCAUAAUCUUGAAUCAAAACUUGGAGUUCAAUCCAUAUGCUCAAGCUGGAGGUAAAAAGUGAUUCGCGUUGUGCCGCGACGUUAAAUCAAGCGCAUGUUGGUAGGCAACCCAGCUUUACUGCUUUCUUUUAUUUUUAAUUUUUUUGUAUUAUCUUAUUGUAUUAUUUUUUAGUGUCAUUUUUUAUUUUCUAGGAGCUGGGAAGCAAAGCCAAUAGAAGAAAGCAAAAGCAAGUGAGAUGGUUAGAACUAAGUGUGGGGUGCCCGUACAAAGAACCAAGUCUGGGAGAAGUCUGAGUACCACAUGAGCUGCUAAUGCUUCGGCCUUUGGCCUACCAUGGAGUUUCUUUUACCCUCUUAUAUUUAUGAGUGUGCAUUGGAACCAAUACACAAUAUUAAGUAUGUGGUGAAGAGACUAUUUGGGUGAUUUUCUAUGCUAUUUUAGUUGUAUUAUUUUAUGUGUG
rnacentral:lncRNA from 1 species